rnacentral:rRNA from 1 species
UACGGAGGAUCCUAGCGUUGUCCGGAUUUAUUGGGCUUAAAGGGUGCGUAGGCGGACCAUUAAGUCAGAGGUGAAAGUUUGCAGCUUAACUGUAAAAUUGCCUUUGAAACUGGCGGUCUUGAGUAUAGUUGAGGUGGGCGGAAUGUGUCAUGUAGCGGUGAAAUGCUUAGAUAUGAUACAGAACACCAAUUGCGAAGGCAGCUCACUAAACUAAAACUGACGCUGAGGCACGAAAGCGUGGGGAGCAAACAGG